ACAGUUCAGACGGGAGCUUUGCAAGAUGGAUUCGCCAGUGAAAAAUAAGGAAACGGGCGUAUCCAUCAGCUUUGCAAGGUUAAUGUGACAAUUUAGCACAAUUUCUGUUAUUUUGAGUGGCGGGAAGGAGGUUCCCACCUAAAAGACAAAGAAGACAAAGGAGACUGAGAAGGAGGCUGUUUACCUUGGUCUGUUACCCAACACCUCAGUAAGUAUUCAGUUCUACUUUAUUUAAAUAUAUAUCAUCAAAAUUUAAGGUGUUAGGGUAAAUUUAGCAUGUAUAUAAUCCACCAACUAAAUCUUUUUUUUUUUAGAGGAAAUUCAUGAUGAAGGUUAGGUUGUGUUCAACAGGGCUGCCUAGAAGUAAGCUAACGUUACAUUGCCAAACUUCAUUUGUUAAUUUUUAAUUUUGUUUCUACCUUAAUGCCAAAAAUACGCAAUGUGAAGUUCAAUUUGGGACUUUUUAGUCGGCUUAACAAUCGCUCCUUUUGGUGAAGUUGGCAUGAAACCAGGUCACGGUUGACAAAUUAGCUAGCUAAGUUUAAGUCAAUACCACAGUCUGUUAACUCCGCCAUUUUACUGUAGCUGCACUGCAGGGUUUGGUUUGGGAAAGGAGAGACAGAUUUAAGUUGCUUAUUGGAAAGCUGAACUUGUAAUGUAAACUGCUUUACGCAGCGUGGCUGUGGUUGUAUGUGUGAAACAAAUCCAUCUGGUGUGACAGGUUACUCUCAGAAAGGAUGUGUUAAAAAAUGACAAAAGGUGUGUUGUUAAAUGGACAUUAAACAGAGAUGAAUAAACAGUGUUGAUCUUUCUAGAAUAUGAAAUUGAGCAAGAAAUUAACUUUAUUUAUUAUUUAAAUAGAUAAUUUGACACAUUAUUCUUUGUACUUAAGCUGACAAAUAUUUAGAAAGUGUGAUUCCAGCAUAAUCAUCUAAACAACACAGGAAAUAAAGGGUCUGGCACACAAUUUUUAGUGUAGAUUAGUUGGAGUUAAAGUUAGAGAUAGUUAUGUGACCUGUUGCAAGUUUGACUUUUUUUGCUGUGAAAUUGAACAAUAUUGAUGCCUUUAACUUUAAAUUGCACACAUUUUCCUCCUGGGGGAGCACACCCUGAUACCACCUAGACAGUUCAGAGUCCCCCACCAUAGCCUGCUAAAAAAAAUCCUUAUUUUCUUUUAAAUACUCAAAUGAGCUCUCCUUGUUUAAGCACAGUAGUUUUUGAUUCAGGGUUGGGUUUUUUAGAUUUUCACUAAUAUUUUUGGACUGUCUUAGACCACAGGGGUAGAAUGGGAGUAGUUGCCUUUCUAAUAUUGUUGUGUGUUGUGUGCUGCUUUCAGUGUGAUGCAGAGUUCGGAAAAAUGUCUACGGGGGAGGAGGACCUUCGAAUAUGGGAAGCACGCAUCAUUUCAAAAGUCCCAAAAAUGGCAACACUUGAAAAUGACCCCAAGGAGAGAGAAUGAGUCACUUUGCUUUGAAACUCUUCAGCUCCUGGCACACUAUCCUCCUACUGCAUCAGGAAGGGCCAAAGGAUGGACCAGAUACAGUGUAAAAUUAGCCCUACAUUACAUCUUGGACCUUAGACUGACUGGAACUAGCAUCCCUAGCUUGAGUGAUCUACUGAGGCAGCAGUCUAUCAGCCCAAUCUUUUGCGUAUAGGACACCCCAGCACAACAACUCAGUAUGCAAUUGCGGUAAAGAAUGACAAAAUCACCAUUCCACUACAAGAUGACAGUUUGAGAUGCACCAUAGACACACAGUUUUACGCUGCUUUGGAGCAAGUCAACUUCAGUAAUGUCUCAGAGGAUGCAGCAAGUGAAUGGUGCCCCCUGUCUUGUGGUUGUGCAGUUUAAUGACAGCAUGACCUGAUCUUACAUGCAUCAGUUAUUUGCAGGCUAGUGCACUGUUGUUGAAUUAUUGUAAUUAAACUUCUGUAAAUGUUCACACUGAAUAGUUUUUUCAGUGUGAUUUUUAAUUAGUGUUUCAGAUGUCAGUAUACAACUGGAGAAUGAUUUUACUUUUCUAAUGCAUUUAUUUUGUGUCUGGUAAAGUUUGUACAGUCACCAUUUUUGUUAGACAGACCUAUACUCCUGUUAACAAUGCAAUAUUAUGGUCUAAAAAGCUUAUUUUUCAUCCAUACAUUAGACUCACCAAGAAUGUAUGUGGUUAUACAUCAUAUAUAUUGUUUGAAAAUAAAUAGAAAUAAAUCAGACCUGAAUUUUAUGCAGUUAUUUUGUGGUUUAUUUAUUUGAGUUUUAGCAUUCAGGCAAAAAAAAAAAGCAUUUUAGGAUAAUUUAGAAAAAAAAACAUUAACACAGAUCUGUGUUAUUUUUAACACAUCUGUGUGUUGAGUUAUUUAACACACAAUAUGUGUUUAAUGUGCACACACACCAAAUGUUUUGAAAGUAACACAAAAUGGGUUGUCCUUAACUAGACACGCCAGUAUGUUGAAAAUCAACACGUGUUAUUUUUAACACAUUUGUUUUGGGAGUAAAGGCGACCUUCUGGACCAAAUGCUGGAAGCUAAUAAAAUGGGAAUCUUGGAUGAUGUGGUGGAGGUGUGUGAUUCCAUGUUUCUUUCAGGUGGGGAAGUUUAAUGUUUUUUUUUUUUUUAAUUGAUGGUUGGGUCUGGGUUAUUCCAAAUUGGGAAGUUUGUGGAUGGUGCAACUGUAGAAGUUGUGAUUCUUUUUAUGUAUCAUGUUUGUUCAUGUUGUAAUGGAUCACAAAAGUAGUAAUUGAAGUGGAGUUGUCAUAGAAUCUUUUUUCUGUGCUGCCUGUGGAUCUCCUGGUCGGCAGCUGCUCAUCUUGGAUCUCUUUCCUAAAAAAGCAGGAAGGCCGACUUACGCCUCCUGAGGCUCACUGCUUCUCUUGUAGUUUCGCUGACUGCACUGUCGUUGCAGUCACCCAGGAGGCUCUCUUGUUCGCUGGUCCUUCCUGUCUGUAAGCAGCAUCGCAGAUAUAAUGCCCGUGCUCUGCUCCUGAGCCCAGAUGGCUUACCAUGCUCACUAGAGAGUAACUAGCGAUUGACUCUUGGUUGACGCGUGGGUUUGGGCUCACAAGCAGAUUCUGCGAUAUUACAACAGAGCGUUCUACCUUCUCCAGGCUGUAAGAUUUAGUGAACCUAAAUCUCGGCAGCUGCAGGAUCAGUAUAUUUGGCAGCAUCAAGAAAGACCAUCUCUGGGCUGACUCUUCACCGCCACAUUCACAGUGGAAGUCAAUAGAGGUGUCUUUCAGGCAGGUCGAGAGAAAUAGUUCAUUUGAGGGACCCAGCUUCUUUUCUCAUUUGUCUAGUACUACUUCUCUUGAAAAAGCAAAAGUGAUUAAAAAAAUGCAAUAUUUCUUAUUAGAGUACUCGAUUAAUCGUCAGAAGAAUCAAUAGAGUACUCGACCACAAAAAGAAUCUGUUACUGCAGCCCUAGUUGAGAGACAGCUGCUCACAGAAUAUUCCUGCUACAGGUCCAGGGAGAGAUUAAUGAAGUCCUCCUUCCUCAUGGAUUGGGAUCCACAUCCCUUGCAGUUUCUUGUGCUCUGCGUUUGGAAGACAAUGUUAGCUUCUACAGGGCAUGUAUACUUCAUGCCCAUACUCAUUGCCUCUGCCUGAAGGUCCAAUGAUGGCGACCUCAUCCAUUCCAGCACACAGCUGAGGAACUCAUUAACAUCUUUUUGAGCAUCAUCCUCAAAUUCUGGGUUCUACUCAGCCACCAGUGACUUGAACGGAGCCAGAAUACAAUACAAUACAAUACAAUAACUUUAUUUAUCCCCGCAGGGAAAUUCAGUUGUCUGGAGUCUCUCUCAU